rnacentral:rRNA from 1 species
CACGUAGGGUCCGAGCGUUGUCCGGAAUUACUGGGCGUAAAGCGUGCGCAGGCGGUUGGGUCAGUCGCUGGUGAAAGCCCCACGCUCAACAUGGGAAUGGCCAACGAGACGGCCCGACUGGAGGCAGGGAGAGGCCAGUGGAAUUCCGGGUGUAGUGGUGAAAUGCGUAGAGAUCCGGAGGAACACCAGAGGCGAAGGCGGCCGGCUGGACCUGACCUGACGCUGAGGCACGAAGGCGUGGGGAGCGAACAGG